rnacentral:rRNA from 1 species
GACGAACGCUGGCGGCGUGCUUAACACAUGCAAGUCGAACGAAGCUUGAUUACGGAUUCUUCGGAUGAAGUAUGAUAUGACUGAGUGGCGGACGGGUGAGUAACGCGUGAGUAACCUGCCCUUCAGAGGGGGAUAGCGUUUUGAAACGAAAGGUAAUACCGCAUAAUGUAUUUUGACCGCAUGAUCGAAAUACCAAAGAUUUAUCGCUGAAGGAUGGACUCGCGUCUGAUUAGGUAGUUGGUGGGGUAACGGCCUACCAAGCCGACGAUCAGGAGCCGGACUGAGAGGUGGACCGGCCACAUUGGGACUGAGACACGGCCCAGACUCCUACGGGAGGCAGCAGUGGGGAAUAGUGCACAAUGGGCGCAAGCCUGAUGCAGCAACGCCGCUUUAAGGAAGACGGUUUUCGGAUUGUAAACUUCUGUUCUUAGUGAAGAAUAAUGACGGUAGCUAAGGAGCAAGCCACGGCUAACUACGUG